UAAAAUAAAAGUGAGAUCUGUCUUACGAGACUUUGUAGACUUUCAGUCACCUGGUUUGCUUGCACUGAGGAAAAGAAUGGGAUCAUAAAAACGCCCACUAGAGCUGCCUCUUCCUUCACCAAAGACUUAAAAGGUGGAAUGGGUCUCUUCUUUAAUCCAUUUCAAGAGUAAGCUGGGUGUCGACGGACAAUAUCUUUCACUGAUGUGGAUGCCCAGGGUGGAUAAUUUCCCAUCAGGCUGCAGAAGCCUGUGCUCAAUGAUGAAGGCUCCAGGUGGCCUUUGGCAUGUGACUCUUCAAGAGUGAUUUCUCUAAAACGCUGAUCUGGUCAAGAUGCCUUCCAUGACUUGGCCUCCUGUUUUCCUCAAGCCUCAUUUUGCAAUUCUCCCCUUGUUGUACAUGACCCUCCGGCCUGAAAACGAAGGUGCAUAAGAUUCCGUGAAUAGGACACUACUGUUGAUAUCUCCCAGCCUCUGCACAUAAGGUUCCCUCGCCUUCACCCAUCUGGAAAAUGAGAACACACUUCAGUUACCUUCUCUGGGACAUUGUCUUUGACCUGGCUCUGCAGUUAGGCGCGUUUUAACUUCUUCUACCGCCUUGCAGUGUGGACAUCUUGAACAUGCUACUUCCCGUAGUGCAUUGCUACCAUUUGUUUACACACAUUUUUCACAGUCUGCAUUAGGCUGUUUAUGUCCCCAGGGCCAAGCGUAGGACCUGACACAAAGUCCUUUCUUAAUAAGAAUUUGUUAGAAGAACGAAUGAAAACGUUAGAGAUCUUGGGGAAAGAGAGGUUGGUCGCCAUUGAAUCUAUUUGAUUUGACUGGGACAAGAGCAGCUUCUGAUGUUAAAUUUGUCCAGCUAAAUAGACAGGAUAAGAAGCACCAUUUAUGACCGGUAUGAAAACUCUGAUUAAAGCACAGAUUAUGACAGAAAAAUAAAUUAAGGUUCUGAAAUAGUGUUUUGGAAUAUUUACCCUUUUCUGGAACAUUAAAUUCGUUUGAUACAAGAUGAGGAUUUUACUAUAAGAUAAUCAGUGAAAAAUCACUAAGCUUGUUGAAAAGAAAAGACAGAAGAUUGGGGCAAAUGGGAUAGACAGAUGGAGACUUAAUAUCAACAUUAUGAUGAGCUCUUACCACUGAUUUAAAAAAACCAACAUCCAGAUCGACAACUGGGUGGAAGAUGUAAACACGUAUAGACAUUUGGUGAAAACUUCGGCAUACGCUCUAUUAAGACUCAUAUAAAAUGCUUAUAUCAUUUGGCCUAGUAACUCUUCACUUGGUGCUUUAUUGAAAAGAUUUUUUUUUUAACCAAGGUGAUGCUAUAGACAUACAGUUGUUCAUUGUAACACUAUCUGUAAUAUCAAGAAUUGGAAAUUAUCUAAAUCCUAAUACUGAAAGGAUGGUCGUAUCCAUUUGGAUGUAAUAUGCAGUAGGGGCAUCCGGGUGGCUCCGUCGGUUAAGUGUCCAACUCAGGCUCAGGUCACGAUCUCGCGGUUUGUGAGUUCGAGCCCCGCUUCGGGCUCAGUGCUGACAGCUCAGAGCCUGGAGCCUGCUUCCGAUUCUGUGUCUCCCUCUCUCUCUGCCCUUCCCCCACUCACACUCUGUCUCUCUCUCUGUCUCUCUCUCUCUGUCUCUGAAAAAUAAACAUUGAAUAUAUUAUGCAAUAAGUAAAAUUAUUGUCCGUAUUUAGGCCAGAAGUACUUUGGGUAAGUAGCAAAUUACAAAACCGUCUCUAAUCUUUCAUGGCAUAUGUGCAUAAGGAGAGGGUCCAAAAGAAAAACUGGAAGAGAAAAGGUAUCAUGGGGUGUUUUUGUCUCUGGAAUUAUGUUUAAUUAAUAGGAGACACUGUCUCUUGUACUGUUGUACAAUAAAGGAGGUGAGGUGGAACGAUAGAAACAACACUUGCCUUGGGGUCAAGAUCCCAGCUCAUUCCUUUGCCCUGUGAUUCUCUUGAGCAAGUUCACCAGUCUCACCUCUAAAAAGGAAAUACAAUGACGGACUGUAAGGGCCUUUGUGCAUAGCAAGGGAGACGACCAAGCUAGUACAGAAGCAUUCCAUCCCUGUGAGCUCAGUGUAGGUUAAGGAACGCUGCCUGUGCCGCGAUUUUCUCUUCCAGUGUGAUAGAGGAGAUUGCAGCCCUACUCACACUGGACGCCGGACUCCACCUUGACUUUCGGAGUUAGAUACGACAUGGUCACUACUAUGUGCAGGUGAAUAGGGGACCUCAGCAAACAAAUUAGACGACUCUCAGUUCCCCUCUGUGGAUUUGUGUUUGCUGCUUCUGUUGGCCAGAGUGUGGGCUGGAGGAUGAGGCAGGGAGACUGCCACAGGACAAUGAGUGUGGUUUAGGACUGUCAGGGAGGCUGGGAAGAGAGAUUUCCCAUCUUGUCUGUCUGAGAUCCACAGAUACAACUACUUGGCCUCACAUUCAUUUUAAUGUGAAUCAUGAAGAUCGUUUUAAUGUGCUUAUUUUAUUUUAUUUUAUUUUAAGGGAGAGAGAGAGAGGGCGCAAGUGAGCGAGGGGCAGAGAGAAAAGGGAGUGAGGGAAGCGGAACUCACCCGAAGCAGGGCUCAGGUGAUGUGGGACUCAAAUUCAUUGAAGUCAGAUACUUAACUGACUGAGCCACCCAGGUGCCCCUCAUUGUAUUUAUUUGAGAGAGGGAGAGAGAGAGAGAGAGAGAGAGAGAGAGAGAGAACCCGCUGGGAAGAGGGGCAGGGGGAGGGAGAGAGAGAAUCUUAAGCAGCCUCCAUGCUCAGCGCAGAGCCUUGAUGCGGGGCUUGAUCCCGUGACCCUGGGAUCAUGUCCUGAGGUGAAAUCAAGAGUCGGAUGCUCAACCGACUGAGCCACCCAGGCACCCCUUUAGUGUGCUCUUUUAAAAAUGUCACAGAGGGGUGCCUGGGUGGCCCAGUCUGUCGAGCGUCUGACUUUGGCUCAGGCCAUGAUCUCAUGGUUCGUGAGUUCGAGCCCCACAUCAGGCUUACUGCUGUCAGCACAGAGCCCGCUUCACAUCCUCUGUCCCCCUCUCUCUCUUCCCCUUCCCUGCUCACACUCUCCCUCUCUCAAAAAUAAAUAAACAUUAAGAAAAAAUUUUUAAUCUUUAAAAAUGUCACAGGGGCGCCUGGGUGGCUCAGUCGGUUAAGCGUCCGACUUCGGCUCAGGUCACAAUCUCACGGUCUGUGAGUUCGAGCCCCGCGUCAGUCUCUGGGCUGACAGCUCAGAGCCUGGAGCCUGUUUCGGAUUCUGUGUCUCCCUCUCUCUGACCCUCCCCCAUUCAUGCUCUGUCUCUCUCUGUCUCAAAAAUAAAUAAACGUUAAAAAAAAAAAAUUUUUUUUAAAUAAAAAAUAAAAAAUAAAUAAAAAUGUCACAGAACUAUCAAUUCAUUGAAUACUAGAAAUACAGUUCAAGAUGGAUGGCUGACCACAUACUUAUCUCUUCUGCCUUUCAAAAUGUUAUUAAAUGAUUAAAAAUGGUAUUUUUUUAAAUGAAGCCAUCAAGAGGGGCACUAUCCAUGCAUGAGAGAUUUCAAAAAAUUUCCGGGUAACAAAAAAUAGAUAUAGGUGACUAAGGAAGUAGCACGAGGAAAUCUAGGUCCCCAGGGAGUGUGAAAGGGGAUUAUUGAAACAGGUUAACAGGGGUGCCUGGGUGGCUCUGUCAGUUAAGCAUCCGGCUUCAGCUCAGGUCACGAUCUCGCGGUUCGUGAGUUCAAGCCCCACGCUGGGCUCUGUGCUGACGGCUCGGAGCCUGGAGCCUGCUUCGGAUUCUGUGUCUCCCUCUCUGUCUGCCCCUCCUCCACUCAUGCUCUGUCUCUC